AUCAUCUAAAAAUGCCUGCAAUUACCUGCACCUGAGGAAAACUGAUAUCAGAUACAGAUUUUCUUAAUGACUCUGCAGUCAACACAGAGCUUAAUGAGGAGCACAUAAUAAAUCUGAUCGUGAAGCUAAUUGGUAUUGUGAUGUCAUUUUGUUCAAUCCCUCUGAUUGGUAGACUAUUCAUGUGCCUAAUCCAGAAAGGAUAAAGCAGCUGCCAACAAGGUGAUGAAGGAAUGGUACUGAAGCAGGAGCAGCCAGAGAAACAAUGACAUCUGUGGAAACGUGAAGAAUGGCACUUACGAGUGGAAAAAUGAGAAACCGAGAGAAACUGAAAUUCACAGAUUUGCCUAUCUCUAGCCCUUGCCACUCAAGGCUGGCCCACACUUUGGGAUUGUUGUGCAUCCAAUAUAGUACAGCACUGAUGAAGAAAGGGAGUUCCAGAGCCACUGAGCAAAUACUGUGGGUGCCUUUCUAUACAUGCUUGUUAUCUUUAGUUAACACUGAUGGCACUGUGAAAGUGAUGAGAUCUGGAUUUUGCAUUAAGAAUACCGUAUCUGAAAUCUGAGCCUCUUCACUCAAAAUCCUAAAACUAGCCUUUUGCUGGUAAGCAGUGAGUAGAUUGGGACCACAGCAUGCCUACCAACAGCUAAGGUCCCAUGAAUUUCUGUGUGGUCAGAGUAGCCUAUAAGGUUUCACAGUGAAAAAUAUGGCAAAUGCUGAGAUGUAUUGAACAGAAGCCUUCUCGUUUGGAUUAUUCCAUGUGGCACAGUAAAAGAAGACAAAUAGGUACUUGACUAAUGUGGUUAAAUCAAAUGUCAUUUCCAGGCAGAGACCUUUUGUAAAAGUCAGCUUUUGCUGAGACCAUUUUUGGUUCACCUUUGAAAAAGAUGGGUUUUUUAAUAGAAAUGGAUACUGGGGGCUGGGGUGGGGAGGAAAAGAUGUUGAAACAAAAGUACAAGCUGUGUUGUUAUCACUAUUUAAAGAUGCUCCCCAUCCCUACCCCCUCGGCCAAGAUUCCUGCAUUCAUUAGAGCUGCAUGGAGGGCACAAACAUGCAAAGCUUUAUUUAUUUAUUUGCAGGUUUGCUUCACAGCCUAAAGUUACCAGAUUGCUGUACAAUAAAAUAAGAUAAAAUAUAAAAUACAAAAUAUUACAGACUCUGGCACCAUCUACUU